rnacentral:rRNA from 1 species
CCGGAUGGCGACCGGCGCACGGGUGAGUAACACGUAUCCAACCUGCCGAUAACUCGGGGAUAGCCUUUCGAAAGAAAGAUUAAUACCCGAUGGUAUAAUCAGACCGCAUGGUCUUGUUAUUAAAGAAUUUCGGUUAUCGAUGGGGAUGCGUUCCAUUAGGCAGUUGGUGAGGUAACGGCUCACCAAACCUUCGAUGGAUAGGGGUUCUGAGAGGAAGAUCCCCCACAUUGGAACUGAGACACGGUCCAA